AUACUUACCUGGGAGGGGAGAUACCAUGAUCACAAAGGUGGUCUUCCCGGCGUGAGGCUCAUCCAUUGCACUGCGGGUGUGCUGACUCCUGCGAUUUCCCCAAAUGUGGGAAACUCGACUGCGAUUUGUGGUAGUGGGGGACUGCGUUCACGUUCUCCCCUG
rnacentral:snRNA from 1 species